rnacentral:rRNA from 1 species
CACGUAGGGCGCAAGCGUUGUCCGGAAUUAUUGGGCGUAAAGAGCUCGUAGGCGGCCUGUUGCGUCCGCUGUGAAAGCCCGGGGCUUAACCCCGGGUCGGCAGUGGAUACGGGCAGGCUAGAGGUAGGUAGGGGAGAAUGGAAUUCCCGGUGUAGCGGUGAAAUGCGCAGAUAUCGGGAGGAACACCGGUGGCGAAGGCGGUUCUCUGGGCCUUACCUGACGCUGAGGAGCGAAAGCGUGGGGAGCGAACAGG